rnacentral:tRNA from 1 species
GCCUCCGUUGCGCAAUUGGCUUGCGCGUUCGGCUGUUAUCCGAAAGGUUGGUGGUUCGAGCCCACCAGGGGGCG